CACGUAUUUAGCCGGUGCUUCUUAGUCAGGUACCGUCAUUAUCUUCCCUGCUGAUAGAGCUUUACAUACCGAAAUACUUCUUCGCUCACGCGGCGUCGCUGCAUCAGGCUUUCGCCCAUUGUGCAAUAUUCCCCACUGCUGCCUCCCGUAGGAGUUUGGGCCGUGUCUCAGUCCCAAUGUGGCCGGUCACCCUCUCAGGUCGGCUAUGGAUCGUCGCCUUGGUGGGCCGUUACCUCACCAACUAGCUAAUCCAACGCGGGUCCAUCUUAUACCACCGGAGUUUUUCACACUGCAUCAUGCGAUGCUGUGCGCUUAUGCGGUAUUAGCAGCCGUCUCCAACUGUUAUCCCCCUGUACAAGGCAGGUUACCCACGCGUUACUCACCCGUCCGCCACUCAGUCACAAAAUAAUCAGUCCCGAAGGAAAUCAAAUAAAGUGCUUCGUUCGACUUGCAUGUGUUAAGCACGCCGCCAGCGUUCAU
rnacentral:rRNA from 1 species